GACGAACGCUGGCGGCGUGCUUAACACAUGCAAGUCGAACGAAGUGGCGAACGGGUGAAUAACGCGUAAUCCACCUGCCUUUCAGAGGGGGACAACAGUUGGAAACGACUGCUAAUAGCGCAUAUUCACGGUGGGGUUUGCGUUUGAUUAGCUAGUUGGAGGGGUAACGGCCCACCAAGGCGAUGAUCAGUAGCCGGGCUGAGGUGAUGAACGGCACCAUUGUGACUGCGACACGGCCCAGACUCCUACGGGAGGCAGCAGUGGGGAAUCUUCCGCAAUGGACGAAAGUCUGACGGAGCAACGCCGCGUGAGUGAUGACGGCCUUCGGGUUGUAAAGCUCUGUUAAUCGGGACGCGGUACCGGAAUAGAAAGCCACGGCUAACUACGUGCCAGCAGCCGCGGUAAUAC
rnacentral:rRNA from 1 species